AUUGAACGCUGGCGGCAGGCCUAACACAUGCAAGUCGAACGAGUGGCGGACGGGUGAGUAAUGCCUAUGAAUAUGCCUGGUAGUGGGGGAUAAAGUCCGGAAACGGUAGCUAAUACCGCAUACCAUCAGAUGUGCCCAGAUGGGAUUAGCUUGUUGGUGGGGUAACGGCUCACCAAGGCGACGAUCCCUAGCUGGUCUGAGAGGAUGACAAGACACACUGGAACUGAGACACGGUCAAGACUCAUACGGGAGGCGGCAGUGGGGAAUAGUGCACAAUGGGCGCAAGCCUGAUGCAGCCAUGCCGCGUGUAUGAAGAAGGCCUUCGGGUUGUAAAGUACUUUCAGCGGGGAGGCGUUACCCGCAGAAGAAGCACCGGCUAACUCCGUGCCAGCCGCCGCGGUAAUAC
rnacentral:rRNA from 1 species